GGACAAUGGCCUGACUCAGACGUUGCUGCGUCCCACACAAAUGCUCUAUGCGACCUCGUCCUGGCCGAGAAAGACUCGAUCACAGCACUGAACAUCACAGGCAUUGCUGAUCUAAGAAACUGACUGAAGGGAUGAAGUAGGAGAUGGGACACUUUCGUCUGAGCUCACAGAUCAUCAUAAAGACUCCGGGCCUUCUCCUGAAUUCUGCUUGAACUCACUGGAGCACAGCGUUGAUUUUGAUCCUUCAGCCAAAUGAAUAACAGUUUCUCAACCUGGCCAUUAAGUCCAACAUGCUGCUUAGUUGUCACAGCUGAUUGCAUAGGAGCUGAACCCUUAACACGUUCCUGAAUCCGUUCCUUGUUUUGCAGGAUGGUUGAAACAGUCGAUCGGGCGAUAGCCAAAGCUUUACCAAUUUCAGUUGGCGUCUCACCUCUUUCGAACCUCUUAAUCAUUUCAAUUUUUGUAUCCAAACUAAUUCUUGUAUAUUUCCUAGAAGAAGAAACACCACUUGCACCAGAUUUCCGCUUUUCUGCCAUUAUUAUGGGCAAGCAAACACUAAAUUUUAAGAAAAAGUUUGGAAGUGCAAAGAUCCACCACGUAAAAAUGGCGUCGAAACAGCAACUGAGCACCUUAAGUUAUGGAGAUGGGCGGCAUAGAAAGUCGCUGUGCAUGUAUGAACUUGUUCACCGGCAUUGCAUUGCGUCCUCUCAAGCACAAGAAACCCAAAACUGAUGUUGGAAAGUCGAAACAGGAUGUCAGUCUAUAAACGGCUUAAGUGCCAUUCAUCAUAACUUGAACGUCGUAAAGUCGAGGCCUGCCUGCAUAACAGAAUAGGAAAAGACACCAGAUGUUACCAGUUCUGGAGCAGAGACUCAGCAGAAGUGUCUCAUGAAAAGAGGAUCCCAGCUUUCGAAACUGGACAGGUACACUGUUGGAUGAGAAAUACUUUAUUAGACAGGAAAAUAACUGGUAAAUGAGU